rnacentral:tRNA from 1 species
AGCGGAGUAGAGCAGUUCGGUAGCUCAGCAGGCUCAUAACCUGAAGGUCGGUGGGUUCAAAUCCCCCCUCCGCAACCA